rnacentral:rRNA from 1 species
GCAAGUCGAGGGGUAACAGGAGAGCUUGCUCUCGCUGACGACCGGCGCACGGGUGCGUAACGCGUAUGCAAUCUGCCUUUUGCUGUGGGAUAGCCCAGAGAAAUUUGGAUUAAUACCGCAUAGUAUAUAGGAGUGGCAUCACUACUAUAUUAAAGAUUACGGCAAAAGAUGAGUAUGCGUUCUAUUAGCUAGAUGGUGUGGUAACGGCACACCAUGGCAACGAUAGAUAGGGGCCCUGAGAGGGGGAUC